ensembl:lncRNA
AUCCCCUGGCACUUUUGAAAGACCUGGGCAGCUAUCUGUGGUGUCUUGGCCAGAUUUCAGUUGGCUUAAAGAUUUUCCAUUGACCUAAAUUCCCUCUGCAUUGUGUCAGUGGCCCCGGGGCUGGGUGUUUUUUGCUAUACAGAGUUGUUGACAAUCAGUUAGCAAAGUCUGUAAAGCGAUUUGGGACAUGUUUGGAUGAGAGGUGCCGUAGAAACACAAGAGCAUUAAGGGCUCUAAGGUGCAUCCACACCAGGCUUUUACAACCUGGCACUGUGGUAAAUGCCUAGUGUGGACAAGGCUGCCCCUAGUGUUUACCUGAUACUACAUGAAAACUGCAAACUGCCCCGUCUUCACUAGGACUUUACCGUGUGUUCACUAAUGUGGUAACAUCCCCCUUUUUUUCCUAGUGAAGACAAGGCCUACACGGCCUGGACUCCUCCUCUGCCCCCAGGCCGUGCUGCUGCAGAUGGGAUCAGUGGAGGUUCCCAAGAGAGACCCCCCUGCCACACACAGUGAAAAGAACGUCCUUAGGAAAGCAAUUGUGCUCCAUCAGCUAACCUGUCUCCUAUGCCUAGAGGUCUUAAAUCAUCAUUCACCUGCCAGCCAGGCAUCACACCGUCAGGUGCUUUGUGAAGAAAACAGUCGAUACGGAGUCCAAGACACAGGUCUGCUGCUGGGAGCUGCCAGAGCCCAUUGCGUUCAGUGCCAGCCUAUACAGGUGAAGAACCCUCUUCACUCCGUGACGUUUCAGAUAUGCUGGCACCUGUCCGGCCAGCACGGUCUGACAUCCCCACUGCCACCGCUGCUGAGGGUAAUUCCAGCCGUGCAGCUGCCUUGACACAUUGCUCUGUUACUGUUGGACAAGAUCACUGUGGCGUGGCGGGCUCGGUAAAGGCAAUGCAUCGAUACAAUCAAUCUCCUCGUCAGACUCAUCCCCACCCACAGAAAGCUGUCUGCAAUGGAACUGACUUCUCCCCUUUAACCACCACACUGAACAUUAUCAGCCAAAGGAGACGGUGCUCCUGACAGUUAAUCAUAGCUUUGUUAUCCUUUUUGUCUGACUCACUGUACCAGAUUCUACACAAUAUUCUCUCUUGGAUUUCAAACCCCCUUCUCCUCACAUUCUCUGACUCAGCCUGAACUUCCUGUUAUUGCUUAUUUGUUUCUGGCAACACCUCCUACGUGCCAGGCACUGUACAAACUGGCCCUGAUCCUGAAAGUUAUAUUCAGCCCCUGCAGCCAAAGGGAGCCCUCUCACCUGCCUGGAAUAGAACAGAAGGUGCCGUUUCUCACCUGUGUGUUAUGUCACUUGCAAACAGUUCCACUGCAGAGAGCUAAGGACCAAAAUGUUUCGCAUCUUCUCUGAGAGAUGCCACCAAGCUAUUUAAUUCUCUUUUCUAGCACGUCUGGUGCUGGAGUGUUCCUUGUAUCUAAGGAAGUUAUUGAAGUAAGGAAUGAACCCUUAGCAAGUAGGACAGCUUUUGAAUUAGGAGUGCAAGGAAGAGCUUGUUUUAUCUCAGAAAUUCUUUGAGGAAUAGCACGAGGGCUAAGAGGAAAGUAUUUAAAGCACUGGAACCAUUCCCCAAACUGCUGGUUGUAACCCUGUGGUUACACUGUUUGCCUAGGAUCUAUUUUCUAAUAUGCUGAUGAACAACUUGAAAAAAGUCUUGCCCAAGUCAGAAUCCAAACUCCCAUUGACGCCAUUGAGCUCGCCCUAAGGUUCUUGUUUUGGUUUUUCCCAAAGGAUCCAGCAUUUAACUAGCUUUAGGAACACCACCAGAAUCAGCUGGUCCCAUGCAGAGCAGUAACAGGGCUGCUACUGAGACACAGAGUGACAC